rnacentral:rRNA from 1 species
AAUGAACGCUGGCGGCAGGCCUAACACAUGCAAGUCGAGCGAGAGGCGGACGGGUGAGUAAUGCCUGGGAAUUGCCAAGUCGAGGGGGAUAACAGUUGGAAACGACUGCUAAUACCGCAUAGGAUUGGAUUACCCAGUGGGGGUUAGCUAGGGGGUGAGGUAAUGGCUCACAAAGGCGACGUUCCAUAGCGGGUCUGAGAGGAGGAUCAGCCAAACGGGAACUGACACACAGUCCAGACUCCUACGGGAGGCAGCAGUGGGGAAUAUUGCACAAUGGAGGAAACCCUGAUGCAUCCAUGCCGCGUGUAUGAAGAAGGCCUUCGGGUUGUAAAGCACUUUAAGCGAGGAGGCGUUACUCGCAGAAGAAGCACCGGCUAACUCCGUGCCAGCAGCCGCGGUAAUUC